rnacentral:rRNA from 1 species
AACGAACGCUGGCGGCAGGCCUCAAACAUGCAAGUCUAGGGGGUGUAGCAAUACAUCACCGGCGGACGGGUGCGUAACACGUGGGAAUAUACCUUUUGGUUCGGGAACAACGCAGGGAAACUUGCGCUAAUACCGAAUGUGCCCUUACGGGGAAAGAUUUAUCGCCAAAGGAUUAGCCCGCGUAGGAUUAGCUAGUUGGUGAGGUAAUGGCUCACCAAGGCUCCGAUCCUUAGCUGUUCUGAGAGGAAGAUCAGCCACACUGGGACUGAGACACGGCCCAGACUCCUACGGGAGGCAGCAGUUGGGAAUCUUGGACAAUGGGGGAAACCCUGAUCCAGCCAUGCCGCGUGAGUGAUGAAGGCCUUCGGGUUGUAAAACGUCUUUCGUACGGGGACGAGUAAUGACGGUACCCGUAGAAGAAGCUCCGGCUAACUUCGUGCCAGCAGCCGCGGUAAU